AGCAACUAUUUCUGAGAGUCUAGGUGGCCUCUCUGGUGGCAUUGCUCACACUUUCAUCCCUGAGUAGGCUGGGCUCAAGAAUCAUUUUUCUUCUCUUUUGUUCUCUGGCAUCUUAAUCUGUUUUCUACAGCUAAAACAAAAUACCCAAGACUGGAUACCUCACAAUGAAAAGAUGUUUGCUUAGUUUAUACCUUUGGAGGGUACAAGGUCAGGAUCGAGUGGCCUCCUCUCUUUGGCACCUCAGAGCCUGGCAGAGAGGGACAUGGCAAAGCUGUUGCUAUAGCUGUUGUUCUUGCUGUUGCUGUUGAGAUAGUCUUGAUGUACAAUCCAGAGGCAAUGACACAGAGGCUAACAGCUAUCCGGCCAUGUAGUGGGCAGUACAGGAGAAGCCUGCAGCCUACGAACAGUGGGCACACAGAUGAGAAGGAAUUAAGCUCCAAGAAGGACAGCAGAGGGAUCUAGUGGACACAGCAGUUCCUGGAGGAACACAUGGAAAAUGGGAGGAGUACACCAAACCUUCGGAUCUCUGCCAGGUGCUCUAUGCUUCACUGUGUUCAAGUUUACGAAGCAGGAGGGGAUAUAAAGCCAGAAUGAACGUUCUGAUGGCAGUGUAGACAGUUUUGGGGAUCACUGGAAUGGAGAACCAAGUAGUAACCUAUUCCUGUAGUGACAAGAGAUGGUGUACUGGCUAGUUUUGUGUCAACUUGACACAGCUGUGGUUAUCACAGAGAAAGGAGCUUCAAUUGAGGAAAUGCCUCCAU
rnacentral:lncRNA from 1 species